UUAUCCCUAAAUCAAAAUUGAAAAACGGAGAGAGAGAGAGAAAAAAAUUGGAAAAGGAAGAGAAGUAUUAACACCGGGUUAAUUCGCGUACUUUCCUCCAUCGGCGAUCACCACCGCCAUAACCGUUGCCAUCGCCGACAGCUGCCUCCAUCAUCCUACUCCUUGGACCUCAUUUCCAUUCGAUCUACCUCAGAUCCGCAUCACCGUCAUCGUUUGUUCAUCUCAGAUUUACGUCGCCAAGGUCUUCCAGCCACCGUUGCUGCUCUUGUCACAACACCACACCUUAGCCGCUUGCACCGCCGCCAUUCUUGCGUGUAGACGCACAAGAUCGUCGCUGCCGGAUAUCUAUUUGUUUUGUUGUUGUUGCCUGUUCAGAUGCUACACUUAUGUUACGGGCUUUAGUUUUGCCCUUCCGCCUAUGUUUGAUGUUGCUUUGUUAGUUCCUUUACUAGCCCCAGUUUUGUCAUUGCAACAUACCAUUUCCCCAUAUCUAGGCCUUUUAAAGUUAUAACCCUCUUGAAAGGAGAAAGGUUUGUAAGGGAGGAAGAGAAGGUGGCAAGAAAUCAGCCCAAUCACAAGACUUCACCAAGGCUUCUUUAGCACCGAAAUCUCACUCUUCUCAUCCUACUCGAAGAAAUGAAGUGUCGUCUACAAAUGCUGCUGAAAGUCAAGCUGCAAAGAGGUCCUCUUCUUCUGGUGGCCCUUCUUAUGAUGUAAAGGUGUGUGUCUUUUUUUUUUUUUACAAUCUAAAAUUUAUGAAAGCAAUAGUAAAGUGCAUUUAUCUUUACUAAUUCAAAAUCAAUGUCGAUAACUGAGCUGAAGCUAUCCAUCAAUAGCCUUGAGAAGGAGCACAAUUUCUACUUUACGAAAUUGAGGGAUAUUGAGAUACUCUGCCAAACACCAGAGAUAGAACGCUUAUCGGUAAAUGUAAUUCCUAGUGGGAAGUUCAAAUGAAGGGGCGUUGCAAAAAUUGCUCCUUCUCUUAUUGCUGGAAACUCCAUUGUGCUCAAGCCUCCAACUCAAGGAGCUGUUUCUGCUCUUCACAUGGUUCAUUGCUUUCACUUGGCUGGUUUUUCCAAAGGCCUAAGCAACUGUGUUACCGGCAAAGGCUCAGAGAUCGGUGACUUCCUUAGAUUGCAUCCAGGUGUGAACUGCAUAAGCUUCACUGGUGGAGACACGGCAUUGCAAUUUCAAAAAAGGCAGUGAUGAUUUCCCUGCAAACGGAGUUGGGAGGAAAAGAUGCAUGCAUUGUACUUGAGGAUGCUGAUCUUGAUCUUGGUUCCUUAAACUCAAGGAUAUAGCGGCAGCCAUGAUGAAUUAAGAUAUGAACCCAUACACUCAACUUGCACAAGUGGAAGGAGAUAAUAGCUGAGUCUCUGAGAUAUUAGUGAAUUUAUUAAUGAAUGUAUAUAGUUACACAAGUUUAUAGGUUUGUAGCAUUU